UAGGGAAUAUUGCGCAAUGAGCGAAAGCUUGACGCAGCCAUGCCGCGUGAGUGAAGAAGUAUUUCGGUAUGUAAAGCUCUAUCAGCAGGGAAGAAAAGAAUGACGGUACCUGAAUAAGAAGCCCCGGCUAACUACGUGCCAGCAGCCGCGGUAAUACGUAGGGGGCAAGCGUUAUCCGGAUUUACUGGGUGUAAAGGGCGCGUAGACGGCGAUGCAAGUCCGAUGUGAAAACCCAUGGCUAAACCAUGGGAGUGCAUGAGAAACUGUAGUGCUAGAGUGCAGGAGAGGUAAGCGGAAUUCCGGGUGUAGCGGUGAAAUGCGUAGAUAUCAGGAGGAACACCGGUGGCGAAGGCGGCUUACUGGACUGUAACUGACGUUGAGGCUCGAAGGCGUGGGGAGCAAACA
rnacentral:rRNA from 1 species